AUUGAACGCUGGCGGCAGGCCUAACACAUGCAAGUCGAGCGGUAGAGAGGUGCUUGCAUCUCUUGAGAGCGGCGGUCGGGUGAGUAAUGCCUAGGAAUCUGCCUAGUGGUGGGGGAUAACGUUCGGAAACGGACGCUAAUACCGCAUACGUCCUACGGGAGAAAGCGGGGGGAUCUUCGGACCUCGCGCCAUUAGAUGAGCCUAGGUCGGAUUAGCUAGUUGGUGAGGUAAUGGCUCACCAAGGCGACGAUCCGUAACUGGUCUGAGAGGAUGAUCAGUCACACUGGAACUGAGACACGGUCCAGACUCCUACGGGAGGCAGCAGUGGGGAAUAUUGGGACAAUGGGCGAAAGACCUGAUCCAGCCAUGCCGCGUGUGUGAAGAAGGUCGUUCGGAUUGUAAAGCACUUUAAGUU
rnacentral:rRNA from 1 species